rnacentral:rRNA from 1 species
UACGUAGGGGGCGGGCGUUAUCCGGAUUUACUGGGUGUAAAGGGAGCGUAGACGGUUCUGCAAGUCUGAAGUGAAAGCCCGUGGCUUAACCGCGGAACGGCUUUGGAAACUGUGGAACCGGAGUGCUGGAGAGGCAAGCGGAAUUCCUAGUGUAGCGGUGAAAUGCGUAGAUAUUAGGAGGAACACCAGUGGCGAAGGCGGCUUGCUGGACAGUAACUGACGUUGAGGCUCGAAAGCGUGGGGAGCAAACAGG